rnacentral:rRNA from 1 species
UACGUAGGGGGCAAGCGUUGUUCGGAAUUACUGGGCGUAAAGGGCGCGUAGGCGGCACGGCAAGUCAGGAGUGAAAGCCCGGGGCUCAACCCCGGAAUGUCUUUUGAAACUGCCGAGCUAGAGUGCGGAAGAGGCAACUGGAAUUCCCAGUGUAGCGGUGAAAUGCGUAGAUAUUGGGAAGAACACCAAUGGCGAAGGCAGCUCUCUGGGACGGUACUGACGCUGAGACGCGAAAGCGUGGGGAGCGAACAGG